ACAAUGAAGAGUUUGAUCCUGGCUCAGGAUGAACGCUAGCUACAGGCUUAACACAUGCAAGUCGAGGGGCAGCAUUUCAGUUUGCUUGCAAACUGGAGAUGGCGACCGGCGCACGGGUGAGUAACACGUAUCCAACCUGCCGAUAACUCGGGGAUAGCCUUUCGAAAGAAAGAUUAAUACCCGAUGGUAUAAUCAGACCGCAUGGUCUUGUUAUUAAAGAAUUUCGGUUAUCGAUGGGGAUGCGUUCCAUUAGGCAGUUGGUGAGGUAACGGCUCACCAAACCUUCGAUGGAUAGGGGUUCUGAGAGGAAGGUCCCCCACAUUGGAACUGAGACACGGUCCAAACUCCUACGGGAGGCAGCAGUGAGGAAUAUUGGUCAAUGGGCGCAGGCCUGAACCAGCCAAGUAGCGUGAAGGAUGACUGCCCUAUGGGUUGUAAACUUCUUUUAUAUGGGAAUAAAGUUUUCCACGUGUGGAAUUUUGUAUGUACCAUAUGAAUAAGGAUCGGCUAACUCCGUGCCAGCAGCCGCGGUAAUACGGAGGAUCCGAGCGUUAUCCGGAUUUAUUGGGUUUAAAGGGAGCGUAGGUGGACAGUUAAGUCAGUUGUGAAAGUUUGCGGCUCAACCGUAAAAUUGCAGUUGAUACUGGCUGUCUUGAGUACAGUAGAGGUGGGCGGAAUUCGUGGUGUAGCGGUGAAAUGCUUAGAUAUCACGAAGAACUCCGAUUGCGAAGGCAGCUCACUGGACUGCAACUGACACUGAUGCUCGAAAGUGUGGGUAUCAAACAGGAUUAGAUACCCUGGUAGUCCACACAGUAAACGAUGAAUACUCGCUGUUUGCGAUAUACAGUAAGCGGCCAAGCGAAAGCAUUAAGUAUUCCACCUGGGGAGUACGCCGGCAACGGUGAAACUCAAAGGAAUUGACGGGGGCCCGCACAAGCGGAGGAACAUGUGGUUUAAUUCGAUGAUACGCGAGGAACCUUACCCGGGCUUAAAUUGCA
rnacentral:rRNA from 1 species